CGUUAAUAGAAUGUCACUGUCAUUACCCGGAAACGGAUAUGGGAAUACAUUUGUAGA
ncrna:unclassified sequences Transposase-1 RNA